GACGAACGCUGGCGGCGUGCUCAACACAUGCAAGUCGAACGGAAAGGCCCUGCUUUUGUGGGGUGCUCGAGUGGCGAACGGGUGAGUAACACGUGAGUAACCUGCCCUUGACUUUGGGAUAACUUCAGGAAACUGGGGCUAAUACCGGAUAGGAGCUCCUGCUGCAUGGUGGGGGUUGGAAAGUUUCGGCGGUUGGGGAUGGACUCGCGGCUUAUCAGCUUGUUGGUGGGGUAGUGGCUUACCAAGGCUUUGACGGGUAGCCGGCCUGAGGGGGUGACCGGCCACAUUGGGACUGAGAUACGGCCCAGACUCCUACGGGAGGCAGCAGUGGGGAAUAUUGCACAAUGGGCGGAAGCCUGAUGCAGCAACGCCGCGUGCGGGAUGACGGCCUUCGGGUUGUAAACCGCUUUCGCCUGUGACGAAGCGUGAGUGACGGUAAUGGGUAAAGAAGCACCGGCUAACUACGUG
rnacentral:rRNA from 1 species